GUUUCUGAAGAUGAGAUACUGACUAGGAGGAAAAAGGAGGAGGGGAAAGAGAAGGUGAAAGAAUAAGAAGAAGAAGAGGAGAAGGAUGAGGAGGGCUGGCACAUCAAACUCUUACUCUCCAACCUGCAUGGGGAUGGUUUUUACAGUGAAAAUAUUCCUCUGUGAUUCCAGAGUUCAUGGAAGGUCUACACAUUUUAGAUUGCUUUCUUACCCAAAUUAUCUUCGUGAUUGCCUGCCUUGCGGCUUUGGGACCUCCUGUGCUACAGAAGCAUCACACUCCUUUGUGAAGAUGUUACCAGAAGGAGCUAAAGUGAGGACUGGCCCUAAGCAGAGUCAUAAUCUGAAGCAAUUCUGCAAGAUCUAUCCUUCAGAGUCCCAAGGCCUACUUCUCAAUGACUUCCUUCCAUGUGAAACAUUUACCUGCUUCGGUAGCCAGCAAGGGAACGAAGCCACCACUUUCCUCUCUAGAUCUUCAUAUUAGAUUCUCCACUCUUUUUGGUCAUUUUGAUGGCCACGCAUGAAGGUUUUGAAGUUUUCACUGUUUGCAAUGUCUGUGUAAAGUCAGACUUAGAUUUGGAUCCAUGGCUGCUUCACAAAAGAGUUUUCUCCAGAGCUCACGUUCCAGCCACAUUAUAAGCCAUUUGGAUAUAAGAAGGGAUUUGGAUGUAAGGAUUGACAAGCUGGUGUCUGGGCUCACUCAAUCUCAAGGCUGGCAAUGGAUUUUUUCUUUCUUGUUGUGUUUCGUAGGAGUUGACUCAUGUGCUAGAUUUAAAAAGAGAAUCAAUGGACUUCAAGACACUGGGUCUAUAUGUAGAUUGUUUUCUCAAUCCUGAUAAUUGCUGUGUGACUUUUGAUAGCAGCCCCAUCAAUCUUCUCAAAGAAAUGGUAUUGGAAAGGAAUGUUCCCAUGGCUAUUGCUGUGGUCCUCCUGACUGCUCAGCUCAGCUCACCAACAUGCAGGACUUCUUUACAACAAACACUUCAUUCCUUCCCUCUUGUCAUGCUAUCAAACACAUUUUACUAAAACAGGAGCACUUUUAGAUGGAUUCACCCAGAAAUAAAUUAUCCAUUAAAGCUCCUAGGCUUCCA
rnacentral:lncRNA from 1 species